rnacentral:rRNA from 1 species
GCAAGGCCUCAUGCUAUAGGAGCGGCCGAUGUCUGAUUAGCUAGUUGGUGGGGUAAAGGCCACCAAGGCGACGAUCAGUAGCUGGUCUGAGAGGACGAUCAGCCACACUGGGACUGAGACACGGCCCAGACUCCUACGGGAGGCAGCAGUGGGGAAUUUUGGACAAUGGGCGAAAGCCUGAUCCAGCAAUGCCGCGUGUGUGAAGAAGGCCUUCGGGUUGUAAAGCACUUUUGUCCGGAAAGAAAUGGCUCUGGUUAAUACCUGGGGUCGAUGACGGUACCGGAAGAAUAAGGACCGGCUAACUACGUGC